CCAACCACAUCAGUUUCUCAGGUCUGGUCGUUUGACCACAUACAGAACACAAGGGUCCAAUGCAACCGAAGGCUAGAUGUUAGCCGCUUCGUUAUCAUUUGUGAUUGAAUGCCCGAGAUAGAGGUUUCACUACAACUUUCAUCACAUUUGCAACGGAGCUGUUGCUGCACAUAGUCAUAUUAAACUGUACCUAGUAAAAAAAGCUACACGCCAAAUUGUCUUUUGCCAAAAAUGAGUCGUUUGCUUGAGGUCAUGCUGGAGCACUGCCUUAAAGGGUUUUAUUCUUUUCAACAAACUGCUGCAAUGCUUGGGUACUGCUUCGAAGAAUUUCUAGUCCAAUGAAUUGACCCUGGUACAUUUUUCCUAAGCCUGGUACUUACUCUCUCAGGCCCUUUUGCUGAACCACUAA